UAGCCCAGCGGGGCUGGCGGGCGGGCGCGAGGAGCGCGUGUGCCCGCGCCCCAGAAACCCGCGGUCUCCUGCACAGGCAUCUCAGCAUCCUUGUCCGACCUGGCCCAGUGACUCCUGAAUACUCGGUCUUUUUUAUGUGCAAUUUUAAGAUGGAAAUGCCCACAGUUGCUGUGACUUCUGCUCUGGGAGCCGGCAGCAGAGGACUCCCUCGCCGAGUCUAGCCCCAAGGGGGAUAAGACCCAGUUAGCGCUAACAUUUACUGCAAUCUACACAAUGGUCUUCUGUGCCUCUAUGUUUAAUCCCAAUUUUAUAGGAUAAAAUGUUAAAUUUCAACUAACCGGACCUCUGACCAAUCUCACCCCUCUGUGGAAAAUAACAGACCAUUGUUAUUAGCACACCAGGAGGCCAAGAAGGCAGAGGCGGCAAAGGGUGAUCUGUCAGCUGCUGGGCUGGCUGGACGAGAUGUGCACGAGAUCAAAAGGAAGUUUCCACAGACCUGUGGCCUGACUGCUCCCAAAGAAACAUUGGAGUGAUCCAGAGUGACAGAUGUUCUGCAAAUCAGCUGUCUUCAUUAAAGACAUGACCUUCAUUGAGGCCAUGGAAAUCAAAGGUUGAAUUAUGAAACAAGAGGCUGUGACUAACCACCUCACUCAAAAACUUGGUCACAGAAGAAGUGGUUGUCUGAAGAAGUGCCCUCCCUGAUGGAGCAAAGUUACUUACUUCAAGAACAAGUCAUGUCAGAGGCCAGGACAGCAAUGCUCACAGGAAGGGUAGACUGUGCAGCCUGGAGUAAGAAAGUUUAUUGUUUUAAAGAAAGCAAUGGCUAAUAAAGUUUCAGUAAUUCCCUACCAUGCUCAUUUCUACCCCAAUAUAUGUUGUCUGGUGUGACUAAAUCUCCACAGCUGCUCACUAGUUUCCUCUGCAUCUUGAUGUUUUUGUAACUAAAUUUCUCUGUAUUCUGCAUUUAGUCAAGAAUAGAUAGUAACCUUUUUAAGGCUGUGAAUUGAAUCUCCCGCAACAGAGUCAUCCCCCUGAGAAGGAGGGUGGUGCUGGCUUGAAGCAGGCACAUAGAAUGUUAAGUUUCACUUUCCCAGCUGAAGGCUCACAAGACCAAGUAACAGAGACUACAAAGAAAGGAAAGUGUCUAUUACCUGCCCAGUCAUUCUCUGUCCUCUGACAAUGUAUUGCCUCACUGGAGGGCCCUUCAAACUUAUUACUAAAUGUCUUAUUUUAGAAAACAGAUUUUACACAUAAGGGAAAACAGAAAUAUUAAAAUGAUUCCAAUGUGAUAUUCACUCAGCAUUAUUUUGUGUACAACUAUCUAAUUGUUUAUCAGCCUUGAACAUAACACAUACCAAACACACCACAACACAUAAAUCUAUAUAUAUAUAUUUUUUCUUUUUAGCGGACUAUUUAGUGGUGAAUUGCAGUCAGGAUUCUUCAGUUCUGAAUAAUUCACUGUGUAUCUCCUAGAAGCAAAGAUAAGUUAUUACAUAAAAUUAUCAUCAAAUUUGGAAACUUUCUAAAAUCUAGUCACUAUUUAGAUUUGGCUAAAAUGAAUAAUCUCAUUAAUUUAGAUUUUUCAUCAUUAUUUAGAGACCUUUAUAGACUCAUGUGUUCAGUUAUAAGAAAAAUAAAGAUGCUGGAAACAUCUUAUGUUCCCAGGACAACGUUUUUACAAAACUAUUGUACAAAUUUCAGUCCCAGCAUAGCACAUCUCCUCACAGAAGAAUGCCCCAUAGGUCUUGCUCCUUCACUCCUUCCCUAAGUCUUGACGCCCAUCCAUCUGAUUUCCAUAUCUAUAAUUUUGUCAUUCAAACAUGUCUGUGAACAAGAUUUCCUAGAAAGAUGCUGCAGGGACCGUCUAACAGAUUGGAACUGCAGUGAUGUGGAGAGGCAGACAUGCUGCAGGUCCAGAGCCCAAUUAUACCUUAUUUGGGCUAACUUUAGCCCCCCCCCCCCCAAUAAUCAUUUCCUUGCCUACCUCUAUGUAGGACUGUAAGUCCUGGCAUUGACAGAUAAAACCUUGGGAACAUAUUAACUUGAGACCACUAGCUUCCACCAACCCAAAAGCUGAGAUUGUCAUCAGAUAGAAUCUGAGACCUAUAGGAGAGAUUCCCCCAUCUUGCUUUAACCACUUCUCUGACGUACUCAACACAGUAUUUUAAAAUUGCCUUGACUUAUGGCUUUGUUGGUUCUGCGACUAUGAAACUGUUUUUGUGUGGGAACAUGGGACCUGGGGUAACUUAGCUCUGUGUUUCCUGUGCCAUGGUCACUCAAAUUUGGCUCCAGAAUAAACUUUUAUUCCCUUUGCUGCUA